CAAAGUAAUUGCAUACUUAAAUUCCACUACUUGAUUCAAAUUCCAAUUUUCAAUAACACUUCCUACAUGUGUAGCUCAAACGGGAGAAAUAGUUUGGUGACUUGUACAGUUGCACUAUAUGUGUACGUCAAUAUUUUGGUGUGUACACACAUACAUGCACAUAUAUAUGUAUAAGGCUAUGAAGCAGUGUCAAGGAGUCUUGAGUUGACCUUAAUACAGUUUAAUAAGAUUAUGAAAUUUCUGAUGACUUUCAUAAACAACCUGCCCGCGAUUGUAUUACGUAGUAGAUUAUGUUAUCUUGAGGUUUUUUAUUGAACUGCGCCAUAAUUUUUGACACAUACGGAAUGAUUUGAAUCAUUAAACCCAUCAUUAUUUAUUCCUAAUAAUAUUAAGUUAAGAGGAGCUAGGGUCCAUUUUCUAUAGAACUUAGUUCUAUGGUUUUAUUAUCCCUACUUAUGAUGAAUAUAUAGUUGCUGACAUAAAGGAUCUUAUUAGAAAAUCGUAAUUGUUUAACUUCUUAUGGAUCACAUAAUAAACUAAAAAGUAUCUAAUGGACAGAGAUUGAGGGGAUGAUUGGUAAUAUAUGUGAGUGCUCCACACAGCCAUAAAUUUCUCUAAAGUAAUAAAACCAAAAUAAUCAAGCUUUAUUAAUAAAAUCCAAAGUUACAGCCCAAAAUUUUUAAAAGGAAAUAUAUUGACUAUAGAAAUUAAAUUUUCUACAGCUUUUAUCAAAUGCUUUAAAAAAUAUUCAAAGUCAAAAAAAUAAAACCAAAACAAAAAUCUUACAGUCUAUUUUUCAAAACAAAAAAUCUAAAGCUACAAGCAACAACCAAUCAACCCCUAAAUCACUUGAAGAAACUUUGCCUUACAUAACGUUCUAUCACUAGGCGAUGCCCACUAUUUACAUUCUAUGUACCUACCUAUCAAAUCUAUUCUAAACCAAAUUAACAUUUAAAGAUAUAAUUUAUAUUUUCAAGAACUAUAGGUAAUUAGUACAUGAGAAUGACUUUUACUAAUAUCAACAUGUAAGAACUUAUUAAAGUUAAUUACUAAUUAGGAGAUAUACACUAAGCGUAGACGCUUAACUUUAAUUUACUUUCUUAUUUUUAUAUCUAGUUUAUAAAAAAUAUGUAUGAUCAUACCAACAGUAUAAAUUAAAAAAGAACGAUCAUCUAACCAAAUUUGAAAAAAAAGAGUCUAACAACACCAUUAAUUAGGACAUAUAUAAAACCUAUUAUAUAAUGCGUGAUGAGUAUAGUGAAGAGCCAGAUUUCUCUCCAAAUAAUCUCGAUAAGAAGUAUUAUCCGUAAAAAAAAAAAAAAGAGUUCCCACUCGAUUUUUUUGGUUUAACGCCACGUGUGCAUAAUAUCUAAUCGAACAGCUCUCUUGUCUGAAAGCAAUGGGCAAAUCUGUGGAACCCAAAGACUCUGACACGAAACUAUGGGUCCUAAAACAGCGUCGUUUAGCGGAAGCUUGCGUACUAAAACACAGAAAAAAAAACGAAAACUGCAAGGAUUCAAAAAAGCUCUUAAUCAGAAGCAAACAAAAACCACCUCUGACAGUUGAAUUUUUUUUAGAUAAAAAAGCCUCUAUCUUCUUUGUUUUUGGUUACUGUUUUCACGAGAGUGUCUUCUCUAUUCGCUGUUACUCUUUCCUUUCCUUCUGAGUUAUGGUGUGAAAUGAUGGCAGCAGCAGAAGCAAGAGCAGUGUGGCAAAGAACAGCCAACCGUUACUUUGUCCAAGAAGACUCUAAAAGAGCUCCCAAGCUAACAACCUCUUCCCACUCUUCUUCAUCAUCAACGAAACAGGUUCAAGAAGAUCCUGUCUCUUCUCCUCCUCCUGUUGUUCGUCCACAGAACCAACCAUCUUCUCCAGGUUUCAUGCCUCUGAAUAUUCCUCUUCUGUUGGGUCAUCACAUUCAAGAAGAUUUGCUCCUGGGAUGGACUGUUGGAUGGAUGUAGUUGAUAUCUUUGUAGUUCAAAGCGAAGAGGAGAAUAGAGAGAGACCUGGAAAGUUUUGUUUUUUUUUCUUUGAAAAAUGUAACUCUUCUUGAAAUGAGUUUUUUAAGAUUUACUUGUAUUGUAAUGCUGCAGCUUAUGGAUUUGGUUAAAUGAGAGAAUGUAAUUUGUUGUAAGAAUUUUGUUAAAUAUUGUGUGUUUAUAAUA